AAUCUUCAGGGCGGGGUGAAAGUCCCCACCGGCGGUACAGUCCGCGAGCCCUCGGGCCGAUCCGGUGCAACUCCGGAACCGACAGUGACAGUCUGGAUGGAAGAAGAU
rnacentral:ncRNA from 1 species